rnacentral:tRNA from 1 species
ACCUGGCAGGCUCAGUUGGAAGAGCAUGUGACUCUUGAUCUCAAAGUUGUGAGUUCAAGCCCCAUGCUAGGUU